rnacentral:lncRNA from 1 species
UACACCACACCCCGCCCUGCCCGGCUCCCUGGUCCCACCCGGGCCCGCCCCCGGCGCCCCGGCCCGGCCCCGGACGUGACGAAAAGGGGGGCACGGGCCGAGCCGGGCCUGCUCCGAGCCCGGGCGGGCCGUGCGGGCGGGGGCUGCAACGUGGGAAGGGGUCGGGUCUCGGGCACGGCCUGGGUCCCGCGCUCCCGCGGUGUGCGGGGAGCUCCUGUGGCGUCUGGGGGGUUCCGCCUGUCUCCCGAGCCUGCAGCUCGCGGCCGACUUCUCGGUCGCUACCUCCUGUUGCCGGUCUGGUCCUGGCUCUCCGCCUGCUUCGGUCCACGCGGCCGCCAACACGCAGACGCACAGUCUGGAGUGUGCGCGACUGAAGGAGCCUCCUAAGCAGCUAAACCUUCAGACGAUACCUUGAGGAGCCAAGACUUAGAAGAAGAGAUAUUUGUGCAUUUGAUGGCAUGGUGUUGAGAGAAGCAAACACACGAUGCAUUCUGGCUCCAAGGUUGCACCCUCCGAACAGACCCGAUCCUUGGCAGAAGCAGCUGGACGGGUUCAUUUUCCUCAGCCAGCAUAUAGUGGGAUGGGUGCGCAAGACCGAACCUGACAGCGGCAGAGCUGAUGCCCAGACGACACAUUCGAGUCCUUCCUCUGCUCCUCCUGGGGCCCCUCGGUCUUCGUGUGCUGCCUUUCACUUUCUCAACCUGGGGCUCAAGUUUCUCAGGAGCCCCAGAACUGGUGGUCUGUGCCCUUUGCCGUUGCACUGUCAUGCCAAGGCUUCUUACUUAGCUGUGUGGCAAGAGCUCUCGAGGAUUCCACAUCUGCCUCUACUUCCUUUUCUCCUGGUUUGGAAGCUCCUGCCUUCUGCUUGCAAUGGCAACAGCUUUGGGUUUGUGGGUUGCAGUUUUGGAUGUGGGCUUGGCAGCGCUCUCCUGCUAGACUGCCUCUCAGGCCUGGCCAGACUACAGUGCUCUACUGAGGCUUUCCAGGGCGAGUGGCAGGGCAGGGCAGGGCAGGGCUGGGGUGAAGGUAGGGUGAUUGGAGCUACGUGGGGCUGGGAUGCAUGA